AAUCAGUCAGACGGGAAUCGAAAAUUAGUUGUCAUGGAUGAGGGCCUUUCAUACACAUGAUCAUUUCAGUGUGGGUUCACCUGCUAGCCAAAUGCAUGAUCCGGUCAAAUCUGAUGGGAUAUGUGCCUGUCACCUCUGCAUGACCAUCACCCCUCGCCCCUUUCUCUGAGAUCUCCCUGACCUAUAGUGUCUUUUAACAGUUUAGACGAUCGACUGACCUCGCAUAUCGCAUUUAGGAUGUGUGUACAUUCUCCCGCAACUGAUGUUCUCGUGUACGUCACCAUUGCGUUCGCUUUAGGGUGUUUCCAAAAUGAGACUCGCAUCAAAAUGAGUCUACAGAAACCAAUACAUGCCCUUUUCUAAAUGUAACUUGUCCUAUUGAAAUCAAUUUCAUUUUUCACCUUCUUAUGCUGGAAUACUUUGGUUGUUGUGAAGCAUCAGUGUUUGCACACUUUUGUAUUUUUUGCUGAUUUGACAAUUUAAUCAGCAGCACUUUAAGAGACUUGUUUUUUUUUAAACUCGUAUCAUGUCUGUUCACAUUAAGGAUUUGUUAUAAGCAGCAUUGAAUCUCCACACACAGUGGCGUGCUUCUAGUUGGGUGCAAGAUGAGAGAGAGGCCAUCAGUGUUAUAUUUAUGAACAAAGUCCAAAUUGAAAUGAGGUUUGCAUUUUCUGUACUUUUAUUUCCCUCCUCUUGUACUGUACAUCAUCAUCCUUCCUUGAAGCGUUUUAGGCUACUGUUCACUGUUAUUCCAGGAACGCAGAACCAGAACCCAUGGCAGACAGUAGAUUUUAGUAGCUUCUCAUGUACAUGGCAUAUUCGCUGUUAUAUACAAAGAGUUUUAGGACACACAAUUCUUGGCUGUUCACAGUAAUGACAAGGAUUAUUAAAUAGAUAAAAUAAAUUUGGUUUGUUGUGUU